UACAGAGGGUGCGAGCGUUAAUCGGAAUUACUGGGCGUAAAGCGUGCGCAGGCGGUUCGUUGUGUCGGCGGUGAAAUCCCCGGGCUCAACCUGGGAAUGGCCGUUGAAACUGGCGAACUGGAGUGUGGCAGAGGGGGGUGGAAUUCCGCGUGUAGCAGUGAAAAUGCGUAGAGAUGCGGAGGAACACCGAUGGCGAAGGCAGCCCCCCUGGGCUGACACUGACGCUCGAGGCACGAAAGCGUGGGGGAGCAAACAGG
rnacentral:rRNA from 1 species